rnacentral:lncRNA from 1 species
UAAAAUCUGGACUAUAUUUUAGGUGCAUAUUUUCCACCAGAGUCGGGUAGAUUUUGUUAUAAGAGAGAACGAAAUCUGGAUUCUACAAAUCUACUCCUCCGAACAUCCAAUUAAAAUCCUACCUAAAAUCUAGCUUUCGAUAACAACCCAAAAUUAAGGCCCUGUUUGGCAUGGCUCCAACUCCGGGUGGAGCUGCUCCACUCCAGAACUCCACAUGGAGCCAGCUCCGCUCCAAAACUCCAGAACAAAAAUGAGGUGUUUGGCUAGAUGGGUGCUCUCAGCUCCAAAAAAGAUCGAUUUCAGUGUGGAUUGCCAUUGUUGCCCCCCAAUUAAGGCCCCACUUGUCAUCCUCUCUAUCCCAUCUUCUUCUUCCCCUUUUUCCACUGCACUGUGCCGCACACGGGAGACCCUCCACGGGCGGCGGGGUGGGUAGCGACGGGGCGGCGGGUGGCGACGGGCGACGACGGACGGCGACAGGUGGCUGGGUGGGUGGCGACGGGCGACGACGAGCGGCGACGGGCGGUGGGCGGCGGCGACGGGCGACGGGUGCGGCGGGCGGCGGGCGGCGACGGGCGGUGGGCGGCGGUGACGGGCGACGGGCGCGGCAACGGGCGGCGGCGGGCGGCGACGGGCGACGGGCGGCGGCGGGCGGCGACGGGCGACGGGCGGCGGCGGGCGGCGACGGGCGACGGGUGGCGGCGGGCGACGGGCGGCGGGCGCGGCGACGGGCGGCAGCGGGCGGCGACGGGCGGCGGCGGGCGGCAACGGGCGGCGGGGCCGGCCGGCCACGGGGGUGGUGACAGGCAGGGCUUUGGCGGCGAGUGGGGCUCGGGAGAAUAGAAGGGAGAAUAGAAUGAAACGUUUUUUUGUGUAACCAGUGGUAUUGGUGGGUAAUUACCCACCAACUCCACGAGAAGGUUCAAAAGAGAGGUUUCUGGAGCAGCAAAAGAGGUGCUCCAAAACUCCACCUACAUUUGCACUACAGCUCCAUGGAGUUGGCAACUCCAUGGAGUUUUGGAGUUGGGAUGUUUGGCUGAAUUUUUUGAUGGAGUUGCUGGAGUUUAGGAGUGGAGCCGUGCCAAACAGGGCCUAAGUUCUUGAGAAUCUAAAAUCUAAUUCAAACGAGACUAAAAAAAAAUAUAAACGCAAUCCAACCAAUCCCCAUCCCCGAC